UUUUACUCUUACACUGUUGACUGCUACUGCUCUUGCUUCCUUUUCUGUCACAACCCCUUCAAAGAGGGCAUUCGAUAGCAACCCCAUCCCAUCCAUCUUAUUCUUUUAUCAAAGAAAGGCUAUCGCUCAUCUUGGUUCCGGCGUAAGUAAUAAGGGUACAAAGGAAGAAAGAGAGUAAUCUGAAUGUGCAGCUGAUUUCGAUUGAUUCUAUUUCACCAACAAAGACUGGCACCGGGUAGACUAAAGUGAG
rnacentral:misc_RNA from 1 species